rnacentral:lncRNA from 1 species
UGAACUUCAGGGGUGAGGUGGGCUGUUAGGACCUUCUGGGGUGGAGAAAUGAUUUCGCAGAAGCCCUCUAGACUAAAUAAAACUCAGGAAAUAUCUGCUUUCCCUGAGUUUCUUUCAGGGACAUCGAGCGAGGCAGGUGUUCCACCCCACUUUCUUGUUUGAGGGGAGAAGGAAACCAAAGCCAGUAGAAAUGGAAUUUAUGGCCUCCGUGCUCUCAGAGGGAGAAAAAAAUUCUCACUCAUCAGCCUAAAGAGAAACCCUGUCUUAUCCCAGAUUACCACCAUGGGAUUUAAAAUUCAGUGAGAAGACUGCUUGGGAAAUACUGUCUCCGAACUGCCGGUACAGACACUGCCCAUUGGUACAAUAUUUUUAGGUCAUCUGUCAAUUGCCAUGUUUGCAUUUCUUUCAUGCAAUACAAGUUGAAAUCAUAAUGAAUUUCUUGAGUUUCAGGAAUAUCUCAAAAUAAACUUCUUCAUCCUCAACAA